rnacentral:rRNA from 1 species
GUAAGAUUAGUUAGUUGGUGAGGUAACGGCUCACCAAGACGAUGAUCUUUAGGGGGCCUGAGAGGGUGAACCCCCACACUGGUACUGAGACACGGACCAGACUCCUACGGGAGGCAGCAGUGAGGAAUAUUGGACAAUGGGUGGAAGCCUGAUCCAGCCAUCCCGCGUGUAGGAUGACGGCCUUAUGGGUUGUAAACUACUUUUAUCUGGGGAUAAACCUACUUACGUGUAAGUAGCUGAAGGUACCAGAUAGAAUAAGCACCGGCUAACUCCGUGCCAGCAGCCGCGGUAAUACGGAGGGUGCAAGCGUUAUCCGGAUUUAUUGGGUUUAAAGGGUCCGUAGGCGGAUUAAUCAGUCAGCGGUGAAAUCUCAUAGCUUAACUAUGAAACUGCCAUUGAUACUGUUAGUCUUGAGUGAUGUUGAAGUUGCUGGAAUGUGUAGUGUAGCGGUGAAAUGCUUAGAUAUUACGCUAGAACACCAAUUGCGAAGGCAGGUGACUAA